UUUUUUUUGUUUUUUUUCAGGGCCCCACCCACAGCAUAUGGAAGUUUCCAGUCUAGGGGUGUAAUCGGAGCUGCAGCUGCUGUCCUACACCAUAGCCACAGCAAUGUCAGCUCUGAGCUGUGUCUGCCACUUAUAUCGCAGCUCACAGCAAUGCUAGAUCCUUAACCCUGAGGAUCACUGAGUAGGGCCAGGGAUCAAACCAGCGUCCUCAUGGAUACUAGCCGGUUUUGUUACUGCUGAGCCACAACAGGAACUCCCCAAAAAUAAGUUCCUGAUGGAUUGAAAUUUUAAAUGUGAAAGUCAAAUCUUUAAAAUCUAAUAAAGGGAGUUCCAGUGGCUAUGGCUCGGGUUCAUAGCCUGGGAUUCCUAGCCUGGGAACUUCCAUAUGCCCUUAAUGUGGCUGAAAAAGAGAGAGAAAUAAAUAAAUAAUAAAUAAAUAAAAUCUAAGAAAAAAUAUAAGAGAAUAUCUUUAUGAUUUGGGUAGUGAAGGAUUUUGUAAAUAAGACACACAAAAUAGCAGAAACCAUAAAUAUAAGGUGAAUCAGACUACAUUAAAAUCUACAUUAACUUCUAUUCCACAAGCCGAAAGAAAUUAUUUGUGGCACAUAUAACUAGCAAAGUAUUUGUAUCUAGAAUACAUUUCUUAAAAACAACCCUCAAAGUAAAUAAGAAAUAGACAAACAACCCGAAAGAAAAUCAAGCAAAAGACAUAAAUAGGUGUUUCAUAAAAGAGAAAACACACAUGGAAAGAUGCCCACCUUCAUUAAUAGCAAGGUAGUAGCAAGUUCAGAUUCUUUGGAGCAAGUCAAAAAUCAGUAAGUAUAGUCAAGGAUGGGGAGCAGUGGGAACUCUUCUUAAUUGCUGGUGGAAGUGCAAAUAGUAAAAUCACUACGGAAAACACUGACUUUGACAAAGCUGACUGUGCAUCUUCUGGCAAGCCAUCGACUUCCACUAGGUUAUGCUCAGGAAAGACUCUGGUAUGUGUGCUUUAGGAGCCAUGUGGAUGGAACUCAUUGCAGGACUCUUUAUUUUGAAGAAUAAUUGGAAAAGCUCAAAUACCUGCAACAGGAGAAUUAAUAAAUAUGUAGAAUUUUACAUAGCUAUGCAUCAUGGCUAGGUGCAAAAAUGUGGAUGAAUGUUGGGAAUGAUAUUGAGUCAAAACUGAACUAGUAGAAGACUAUGCAUAGAAUAUGGCUUGUAUAAAGCUCAGAAACAUGCAAAAGUGAACAAUAUAUAACUGGGAAUUUUUUAUCAAAGCAAUAAUAUAUAAUUAUAUUGUGUAUGAUAUAGAUUAUAAUAUAUAUAAAUUCAUAUUAGAUAAUGUAUAAUAUUAAACACAAAAUACAAGAUAAUGGUUACCUUCAGGGUGAGGUAAGGGGAGAAAUGGGCUGGGACACAGGAAGACUCAAUUGUCGUGGUAAAGUUCUAGUUCCUGUCUCUGGUAAUGUUCUACUUAGGCUCAUAGGUGUUUAUCUUACGUUUCAUAACAUAGCAGUUAUAGGUUUCUGUAUGUUCCAAAUAUAGCAAAAAGUAAAAUGAAUUCCAGUUGUAUACUUUUUUUAGAAAACAAGAAAUAAAGAAAAACAGACAAAGAAAGACUGUAAAUAUAAAGGACUAGACAAAGAUAGGUUAAGACAAAAAAAGAACUUAUGAGCACCAGCAUUAUUACUGAAGUAGAAUUCAAGAUCAAAAGCAUUAAACAGGACAAAGAGGAACAUUAGCUAAUGAAGAAAGAUACAUACCCUGAGAAAGAUAAAAGAAUCAUAAACUUUGUUGUUCCAAACAACACAGCAGCCAAAUAAUAUAAAGUAAAAACUUGGAGUUCCCAUCAUGACUCAGUGGAAACAAAUCUGACUAGCAUCCAUGAGGACGCAGGUUUGAUCCCUGGCCUUGCUCUGUGGGUUAAGGAUCUGGCGUUUCCGUGAGCUGUGGUGUAGGUCGCAGACGUGGCUCAGAUCUGGCAUUGCUGUGGCUGUGGCGUAGGCUGGUGACUACAGCUCUGAUUGGACCCCUAGCCUGGGAACCUCUAUAUGCUGCACGUGCAGCCCUAAAAAGAAAAAAAAAAAAUCAGAAAUAAAGUAAAAACUCCAGGGGGGGAAAAUCUCAGUAGUUUGUCUUAAUAUUCUUUCUGCUUAGUGGUAGGAGAGUCUUCCUUGCAGUGGUGCUGCUGGCCAGGCCCUCUUCUGAGCAGGGCCAUGGCUACGAGUGUCACCACUGAGACAGAUCCCCCCCUUUUCCAGCGAUUUGGAGAGACCUCAGGGAGUAUAUGGCCAGGCUCCCAAAGGUCCCAGCCUGGCAUUGUCCAACUUCCUGCCCAGCUCUUGCACCUGCUUCUGUGUCUGAUCUCCCCAUGGAUAACCCUACUUCCUGCUUCUUUUCCUGACCUGCUGAUGUUCAUCAAUUUUUUAGGCUCUCAGUCUACAAGAUUUCUUCCCUGGACUCUUGGGGGGUGGGUAGAUAAGGGGGAAGACUUUAAUCUGUGAAAAUGAACCACCCUCCUCCCUUCCCUUCUCCAACUUCCCAUCUGUGCCGAUUGGCUGUGAACUUAGCAAGUGGCGGACUACUCUGAGUUCAGCCCUUCCCUUCUGGACAGCACAAGGCCAUGAUGCAAGAGGCACAGAUCAUGCCUGUAAUAGCCUUGAGACGGAGGGUGGCUUUCUGGUCGUCAGUCUCCCUUUCUCCCGCUUCCCUUGUCCUGGCCUGUCUGAGCCAACCUGCUGGCCAGCACCCAUGAGACAGCUUAAGAUGGGCCACACCUCUCAGCCCUGCUGUUGAGUCCUCACUCCUGUUGCCUUGGGAUGUGGCCUCGUCCUCUGUCCUCAGGCCAUUCCCAGGCAAUCCUUGGCUUGGAGCCUGUCUGAUGAAGUCUGCCCCACCCCUCAGGAAGGCAGAGUUGCAAAAUAUUUGGGGCUUUUCCUGUCUGUCCUGGCCUUCCUUUUAGGCAGAGUUGCUUGUUUAGACCGGUAAACUGCUCUCAGGAUCUGCCACUCACUCUGUGACCUUGAACAAGCUGCUGCACUUCUCAGAGCCUCAGUGUCUUCAUCUGUAGAAUGGUGAUGAUAAUAUUUUGAGUGAAAAUGAAAUGAAAUAAUCCCAGAGACACUGGCCUAGGUUAAGUACUUAGUACUCAGCAGCUGCUAUUAUUGUUCUGGCCAUCAUCACUCUUCAUUAUCACUCAUUGUUAGCAGAGUGUUUUAUAAGCGAAAAGACCUAUUGCAGUAAGUUGCCUUCUUCCAGAGUUGCAGCUUCACUUUGUUUUACAGAGCAUGACUCCAGGUUUCUGCCCUUGUCACAAUCGUUCUGUUUGUGGACAUUUUUGUGGUGGGUAUAACUUGAUUAUUUUCUUAUUAGUAACUCAGCACCAGUAAUUCACUUUUUCAAUUGAACUCUGUUGUUUAUGAAGUACCCCACUGCCUGAUCCAGUUGUGGGUUACCCAGAGGGGGUUCCACUCUAUGCAUAUGGGACCAGAGGUAACCCUACAUGUGUUCUCUUAGGCAUUUUACACCAACAAUUAUUUUCAUUUGUUCUCAGAAAUCUCUGACAAUAUCCAGCUGAAUGGAAUCUAUAGAGAAAAUCCCCUCCCCCCAUUGUCUCCAUUUAAAUACCAGCUCAAAACCUGUGUUCAUGUUAGGGAGAGUUUUCACAAAUUGUAUUUGUAUAAACACAGCGGGGUGAUAUUGUAAAACUGGGGAUGGAGAAGGUACAAAGGUCAUUACUGCAUGCAGCUGAGAAUCAUCUUAUUGAUGACUUUUCUGAGCACUGAUUUUUAUGCCAGAGACUUGGAAAUAUUAUCUCCUUUAUUCACCCAAUAAUCUGGUGAAAUGGUGUAGGUUUUCACCAGGACACUUUGGUGACAAGUGACAGAGAAUUAACUCAGACUAGCUUAAGCAAUAAACGGCUUUAUUAGCCACUUAUUUGUUAGCCCUUUAAUGCCUCCACAAACUGAAGCUUUGGGCUCCCAUCUUUACCCAUCUUCCUUCUUGUGUCUGUGAAUUGGCCAUGGUCUCUAGGGCUCCUCCCUGUGGUAAAGGAGCAUAACUACCCAAAUCCCUGUAAUUGUGUCAAACUUCACCUUGGACCAAUGGCAGGGAAUGGAGUAUUCUGGCCUGGAGGCCUGGGCCACGACACACAGGCCUGGCUGACAGGCAGGGACAAGCCCACCAUCUGUGCCUCAGUGCCUCCUCUGGCAUGGCCCUUGAAGUCGUGGGAGGUCUGGGUGUCUGUCAGCCUCGGAGGAUGGGGAAAAGAAGGCUGGUGUCACAGGACACCCAGCUCCUGAAAGCCUUUCUGGCCUAAAGCAGUAGGGGCAACCUUGCCAUUGCCAGUGCCAAGGACCACCCCACACCUACUCCCUUCAGGGGUCUUGGAUCCCUCUUGGUUCAGUGUCUGGGCUGGAUUAAUUUUUGGGAUGACAGGCACCCGUGAAUAAUAUUAGCCCCACUGUUUAAGCACCUGCGGUGAGCUGAACCCUGUAUCUGUUUCGCUUGCUCAUGUGACUCCCAUGAUGGCUCUGUGCUUGUCCCUGGUUUUACAAGGCUUGGGGUAGUUAAGUGACUUGCCCAAGGUCACAUGGCCCAGGGGUAGCAGAGCUGGGACUGGAGUUUGACAACACUGUACUCCCCAUUCCCUGAAGCAAGCUGGAUUGGGUGGGGCACCCUCAAACCUCAGAACUCAGGCCUGCCCACUAGAUCGGCUGCCCCUCACUGGUAGGCUCCAGAGGCUGAAAAGAUCAGAAUGAAAUAUUGACCCUUAAAUUUGGGACUCCCAACUCUUGCCUGCAUUGCUUG
rnacentral:lncRNA from 1 species